GACUAACGUUGGCGGCGUGCCUAAUACAUGCAAGUCGAACGAUCUGGUAGCAAUACCAGGGAGUGGCGAACGGGUGAGUAACACGUGGAUGAUCUACCUCUAAGAUUGAGAUAACCCAUCGAAAGGUGGGCUAAUACCGAAUAUGACUACGAUCCGUAUCCGGAAUGUAGUAAAAGGCGGGGACCGCAAGGCCUGCCACUUAGAGAUGAGUCUGCGGCGUGAUAGCUAGUUGGCGGGGUAAUGGCCCACCAAGGCAACGAUCAGUAGCCGGCCUGAGAGGGUGUACGGCCACACUGGAACUGAGACACGGUCCGGACUCCUACGGGAGGCAGCAGUAGGGAAUUUUCCGCAAUGGGCGAAAGCCUGACGGAGCAACGCCGCGUGAGGGAUGAAGGUUUUCGGAUUGUAAACCUCUUUUACAGGGGACGAGUAAGGACGGUACCCUGUGAAUAAGC
rnacentral:rRNA from 1 species